AUUGUUUCUCUGACUUUUGGCUAAGAUGAAGUUUAGUAUCUGUUCUUAUCAGUUUAAAGUGGCAUAGUAUUUGCAUAUAGCCUAUGCAUCCUCUGGUAUACAUUAAGUAAUCUCUAGAUUACUCAUACUACUUAAUACAACUUAC
ensembl:snRNA U2 U2 spliceosomal RNA